GACGGAAGGUGCAAGCGUUGCUCGGAAUCACUGGGCGUAAAGGGUGCGUAGGCGGCUUGGUGGGUCUGGUGUGAAAGCCCCCGGGCUCAGCCCCGGGGAAGGGCACUAGAAACUGCCGAGCUGGAGUGCCCGGAGGGGAGAGUGGAAUUCCUGGUGUAGCGGUGAAAUGCGUAGAUAUCGAGAGGAACACCUGAGGUGAAGACGGGUUGCUGGGCCGACACUGACGCUGAGUGCGCGAAAGCCAGGGGAGCAAACGGG
rnacentral:rRNA from 1 species